CACCGACCUUUGUAAACUCAAUUUCUCACCUUCACAAAUUCGGACAGCAAGAAGAAGAAAGAAGAAAGAAGAAAGAAGAAAGAAGAAGAAGAAGAAGAAGAAGAGAGGAAGAGAAGAGAAGAGGAGAAGGGAAGAGAGGGAAAUCCGAUUGGAGACUUCUGCCCUUAGAUCACUGUUGGAGGAAUCAGCUGCAAGGACUUCCUAAUAGCAGUGAGGGAAGCAGUAUAGCACCAGGAAGAGUGGGAGCAGUGUCAGAUUGUCAGGAUGCAUUUAUUUUCUUCAUUUGCAUCUACUUUCAUGUUUGUGGUAUGAUGAAAUUGAUGGUGAUGGAAAUGUGAAAGGUAAGAUGAGGAGAGCAGUCACCUACAGAUUACUAGUUCCUAGCAUGAUGCUAUGGCUAUGGAUCAGUUGACUUGUAUACAUGAUUUUGAUGAUUUCAGUCAUGGACCUAAAUGCGAGUGUGACGAUUGUGUUUAUGGUGGACAGUAUUUAUGAGAUCUGAUGUUUAGGAUCCUUCUUUUGUGUACAUAUGGAUGGUUAUGGAAAUCAGUUUUUGGUAGUUCAGACUACAGGUGGAGACUUUUUAUGUUUGACAGGUAGAAGAUACAUUUUGUGUAAUUAACAGGUGGGAGAGAGAAGUUUAAUGAUAUGAUAGGUGGGAGAUUAUUUUGUGUAUAUUUUGAUAUAUGGAUUACUGUAUAUAAAAUUGUGGAUCAUUGUGUAUCUAA